UACGGAGGGUGCAAGCGUUAUCCGGAUUUACUGGGUUUAAAGGGUGCGUAGGUGGGUAGGUAAGUCAGUGGUGAAAUCUUCAAGCUUAACUUGGAAACUGCCAUUGAUACUAUUUAUCUUGAAUACUUUGGAGGUAAGCGGAAUAUGUCAUGUAGCGGUGAAAUGCUUAGAUAUGACAUAGAACACCAAUUGCGAAGGCAGCUGGCUACACAAAUAUUGACACUGAGGCACGAAAGCGUGGGGAUCAAACAGG
rnacentral:rRNA from 1 species